CCGUAUGGUGUCGAUGGUAGGAGAGCGUUCUAAGGGCGUUGAAGUCAGACCGGAAGGACUGGUGGAGCGCUUAGAAGUGAGAAUGCCGGUAUGAGUAGCGAAAGAAGGGUGAGAAUCCCUUCCACCGAAUGCCUAAGGUUUCCUGAGGAAGGCUCGUCCGCUCAGGGUUAGUCGGGACCUAAGCCGAGGCCGAAAGGCGUAGGCGAUGGACAACAGGUUGAUAUUCCUGUACCACCUAUACAUCGUUUGAACGAUGGGGGGACGCAGAAGGAUAGGGUAAGCGCGCUGUUGGAUAUGCGCGUCCAAGCAGUUAGGCCGGAAACGAGGCAAAUCCCGUUUCCAUUAAGGCGGAGCUGUGAUGGCGAGGGAAAUAUAGUACCGAAGUUCCUGAUUCCACGCUGCCAAGAAAAGCCUCUAGUGAGAUGUAAGGUGCCCGUACCGCAAACCGACACAGGUAGGCGAGGAGAGAAUCCUAAGGUGUGCGAGAGAACUCUCGUUAAGGAACUCGGCAAAAUGACCCCGUAACUUCGGGAGAAGGGGUGCUUUUUAGGGUGAAUAGCCCAGAAAAGCCGCAGUGAAUAGGCCCAGGCGACUGUUUAGCAAAAACACAGGUCUCUGCGAAGCCGCAAGGCGAAGUAUAGGGGCUGACACCUGCCCGGUGCUGGAAGGUUAAGGGGAGAGGUUAGCGCAAGCGAAGCUUUGAACCGAAGCCCCAGUAAACGGCGGCCGUAACUAUAACGGUCCUAAGGUAGCGAAAUUCCUUGUCGGGUAAGUUCCGACCCGCACGAAAGGUGUAACGAUCUGGGCACUGUCUCAACGAGAGACUCGGUGAAAUUAUAGUACCUGUGAAGAUGCAGGUUACCCGCGACAGGACGGAAAGACCCCGUGGAGCUUUACUGCAGCCUGAUAUUGAAUUUUGGUACAGCUUGUACAGGAUAGGUAGGAGCCUGAGAAGCCGGAGCGCCAGCUUCGGUGGAGGCGUUGGUGGGAUACUACCCUGGCUGUAUUGAAAUUCUAACCCGCGCCCCUUAUCGGGGUGGGAGACAGUGUCAGGUGGGCAGUUUGACUGGGGCGGUCGCCUCCUAAAGAGUAACGGAGGCGCCCAAAGGUUCCCUCAGAAUGGUUGGAAAUCAUUCGUAGAGUGUAAAGGCACAAGGGAGCUUGACUGCGAGACCUACAAGUCGAGCAGGGACGAAAGUCGGGCUUAGUGAUCCGGUGGUUCCGCAUGGAAGGGCCAUCGCUCAACGGAUAAAAGCUACCCCGGGGAUAACAGGCUUAUCUCCCCCAAGAGUCCACAUCGACGGGGAGGUUUGGCACCUCGAUGUCGGCUCAUCGCAUCCUGGGGCUGUAGUCGGUCCCAAGGGUUGGGCUGUUCGCCCAUUAAAGCGGUACGCGAGCUGGGUUCAGAACGUCGUGAGACAGUUCGGUCCCUAUCCGUCGCGGGCGCAGGAAAUUUGAGAGGAGCUGUCCUUAGUACGAGAGGACCGGGAUGGACGCACCGCUGGUGUACCAGUUGUCUUGCCAAAGGCAUAGCUGGGUAGCUACGUGCGGACGGGAUAAGUGCUGAAAGCAUCUAAGCAUGAAGCCCCCCUCAAGAUGAGAUUUCCCAUGGCGCAAGCUAGUAAGAUCCCUGAAAGAUGAUCAGGUUGAUAGGUCAGAGGUGGAAGCAUGGUGACAUGUGGAGCUGACUGAUACUAAUAGAUCGAGGACUUAACCAA
rnacentral:rRNA from 1 species